UGGCGGACCAUUUGACUAGACGCUCCACGGUGCGAAAGCGUAGGGGAGCAAACAGGAUUAGAUACCCUGGUAGUCCACGCCGUAAACGAUGUCGAUUUGGAGGUUGUGCCCUUGAGGCGUGGCUUCCGGAGCUAACGCGUUAAAUCGACCGCCUGGGGAGUACGGCCGCAAGGUUAAAACUCAAAUGAAUUGACGGGGGCCCGCACAAGCGGUGGAGCAUGUGGUUUAAUUCGAUGCAACGCGAAGAACCUUACCUGGUCUUGACAUCCACAGAACUUAGCAGAGAUGCUUUGGUGCCUUCGGGAACUGUGAGACAGGUGCUGCAUGGCUGUCGUCAGCUCGUGUUGUGAAAUGUUGGGUUAAGUCCCGCAACGAGCGCAACCCUUAUCCUUUGUUGCCAGCGGUCCGGCCGGGAACUCAAAGGAGACUGCCAGUGAUAAACUGGAGGAAGGUGGGGAUGACGUCAAGUCAUCAUGGCCCUUACGACCAGGGCUACACACGUGCUACAAUGGCAUAUACAAAGAGAAGCGACCUCGCGAGAGCAAGCGGACCUCAUAAAGUAUGUCGUAGUCCGGAUUGGAGUCUGCAACUCGACUCCAUGAAGUCGGAAUCGCUAGUAAUCGUAGAUCAGAAUGCUACGGUGAAUACGUUCCCGGGCCUUGUACACACCGCCCGUCACACCAUGGGAGUGGGUUGCAAAAGAAGUAUGUAGCUUAACCUUCGGGAGGGCGCUUACCACUUUGUGAUUCAUGACUGGGGUGAAGUCGUAAUGGGGUACCCUAUAC
rnacentral:rRNA from 1 species